rnacentral:rRNA from 1 species
UACAGAGGGGGCAAGCGUUGUUCGGAAUUACUGGGCGUAAAGGGCGCGUAGGCGGUUUGCUAAGUUGGAUGUGAAAACUCUGGGCUUAACCCAGAGCCUGCAUCCAAAACUGGCAAACUUGAGUACUGGAGGGGAAAGCGGAAUUCCUGGUGUAGCGGUGAAAUGCGUAGAUAUCAGGAGGAACACCGGUGGCGAAGGCGGCUUUCCGGACAGUAACUGACGCUGAGGCGCGAAAGCUAGGGGAGCAAACAGG